rnacentral:rRNA from 1 species
AUUGAACGCUGGCGGCAUGCCUUACACAUGCAAGUCGAACGGCAGCACGGGUGCUUGCACCUGGUGGCGAGUGGCGAACGGGUGAGUAAUACAUCGGAACGUACCUUAUCGUGGGGAUAACGCAGCGAAAGCUGUGCUAAUACCGCAUACGCCCUGAGGGGGAAAGCGGGGGAUCGAAAGACCUCGCGCGAUUAGAGCGGCCGAUGCCUGAUUAGCUUGUUGGUGGGGUAAAAGCCCACCAAGGCGACGAUCAGUAGCUGGUCUGAGAGGACUGACAGCCACAGGGGGACUGAGACACGGCCCAGACUCCUACGGGAGGCAGCAGUGGUGAAUUUUGGACAAUGGGGGCAACCCUGAUCCAGCAAUGCCGCGUGAGUGAAGAAGGCCUUCGGGUUGUAAAGCUCUUUUGUCAGGGAAGAAACACCGGCUCUAACACAGUCCGGGAAGGACGGUACCUGAAGAAUAAGCACCGGCUAACUACGUGCCAGCCGCCGCCGUAA